GGAGAGUGACUGUUUAUAAAGCAGCAGGGGACUGAUGCUGGACAGGUUGGAGAAUGACGCAAGUUUUGGCUGAACUCCACAGAGGACUUCACAGUGUGAUGCGGUACUCCUUAUAAUUUGGUAAGAUCACCAGUCCAGGAAAUGGAAUGACCAUAGUUAGCCUGGAUCGAUCAGCAUUCACCCCACGUAGCAGGGGGGAGUCCGAGCCUGCCCUGAAAACAAGGAAGAAUGACUUGAGGUGGAAUUUAUUGUGUCUGUAUCCUGAUAAUGCUAUAGAUUUAGAGGUACUAUUUCGUGGAGCAUCACACAGGAAUAGCCUGAAGACACUACACAGCAGGUAAGUUUGGGUUCAGAUGACAAUUUGGUCUACAGAUUCACGUCAUAUAGAGGCAGUAAGCUGUGUUUUCU
rnacentral:lncRNA from 1 species